AAAUUAAUAUAUAAAGAGUCGAGCCUGCCCAGUGAUAGACUUUAAACGGCCGCGGUACUCUGACCGUGCGAAGGUAGCAUAAUCAUUUGCCCUAUAAUUGAGGGCUUGUAUGAAUGGUUUGACAAAAGCAUAACUGUCUCCUUAAAAUUUUAUAAAAUUUGGUUUUUAGGUGAAGAAACCUAAAUAUAAUUGAAAGACAAGAAGACCCUAUCGAGCUUUAGAAUAAUUAAUUAAAAAAUAUAAUAAAACAAUUAACUUUAAUUAAAAACUUUAGUUGGGGCGACUGAGGAACAUAUAAAGCUUCCUUAAUAAAAAUAUGCUAAUAAGCAAUGAUCCAAAAAAUUUGAUUAAGAAAAUUAGUUACCGUAGGGAUAACAGCAUAAUCUUUUUCAAGAGCUCUUAUCGAAAAAAAGGUUUGUGACCUCGAUGUUGGACUAGGAUAUCCUAAAAGAUGCAAAAGUCUUUGAAGGUUGGUCUGUUCGACCA
rnacentral:rRNA from 1 species